ensembl:lncRNA
AAAUGUAUUUUUCGAUGCUUCAAAAAAUUCUAACGGACCCUCUGAUGUCACAUGGACUACUUUGAAGAUGUUUUUAUUACCUUUCUGGACGUGGACAGUAUACCGUACAUACAUUCUCAAUGGAGGGACAGGAAGUUCUCGGACUAAAUCUAAAAUAUCUUAUACUGUGUUCCGAAGAUGAACGGAGGUCUCACGGGUUUGGAACGACAUGAGGCACAGCAUGGUGACUUAUACUGUAGAAGUUUUCACUGCCAUCCCAGUUGAACUAAAAACAUGAAACCUGAAGACAGGGCCCCUUCAUACACCCCGUUAUGACAUGUGCUUGUAAUGGAAGACGAGGACCAAAUCAUGGAUAUUCUUAAUUUUACACAAAGUGCUUUGCAAAGAGAAACUUUUGGAUGUGCUGUAGUAAGUUACUGAUCACCUCAUGAGCUGAACAAAUCCCAAAUAUAUUGCCAGUAUCACCCAGGAUCCAUCAGAAAUGCAACCCAGGACUGGCACCAGCACCACAACUUGCCUGCUGACAUUGCUUGAGGAAGAGGCCUACAAUCCUUAGAGGACAUAAAGAGAGAAAGACACUCUAACUCAGGGCUAUUCAGUUAGCUUCAUUUGAGGUCCAGAUUAUCAAACUGAAAAUUUGAAGGGGAGUAGGGGCCAUCCCAAUCUCUUUCUGGGGUCCCUUUAAAAUUAGAAAUUAAAUGUAAAUGCCUAUUCAGCAGUAAAAUGAAAUAAUAUUACAUACAGUAGCAUCUAGGCUAUAAAAGGUUAACAUUAGUGCUAUCCAAAUGAAUAUAGAAACAACAUAAAGAUGGCGUUUUAAAUAUGUUUAAUGACAUCUUUUUACUAGCCUAUUAUUAAUGAAGACCAGUAUCAUUGAUACCAAUAAUGUUACCGAUGUCUCUAUUAUAUUAAUUUUCCCCUCAAUUUUAGCCAUUAAUUAUAGCCAUUUAACAUGACAGUAUAAUUGAAAGCCAUUAUUUUCAACAUUUAUUAGGCUUUGAACAAUAAAACAAAUUUUAAUUUAGGUGAACUUAAAAAAAUCUUAACAUAAAUUCUAAAUUGUAUGCAUAAGCUAUAUUAAUGAAACUUUAUUAAGAUACAAAAUUUAAUCAGCAAGCAGAACAGUCGAGUGUUUUUUCUUUUUCUUUUGUUCUUUGAUAAGUCACACACUACAGCAGGUUUCACUUUAAAAGCAGCGCUGUCUCUUUAAAUCCUGAUGCACAUGAUGCCUAUCUGAUACAUAUCAGAUUCCAUUUCAAAAGGGAACUCCACGCUGCGUCCUCUAGAGGGCGCUAUGGGAACGCCUCCAGCGUGACCGGUGUCUGAAGCAUGAAUGA